ensembl:miRNA MIR9803 microRNA mir-9803
UGUGGCGGCUCCAAGGUCAUGAUCGAUCGGCACACACUGUCGAGAUGGAUUUCGUGACUGGCUGGCUGUUCACAA